rnacentral:rRNA from 1 species
UACGGAGGGUGCAAGCGUUAUCCGGAUUCACUGGGGUUAAAGGGCGCGUAGGCGGCCCGCACAAGUCUGCGGUGAAAACCCCCGGCUUAACCGGGGGCCGGCCGUGGAAACUGUCGGGCUGGAGGCUGGGAGAGGGCAGCGGAAUUCCCGGUGUAGCGGUGAAAUGCGUAGAGAUCGGGAGGAACACCGGCGGCGAAGGCGGCUGCCUGGACCAGUCCUGACGCUGAGGCGCGAAAGCUAGGGGAGCAAACAGG